rnacentral:lncRNA from 1 species
AUAGAUAUAGAGCUUGAUGUUGCUGCUGAUGAGGCAACACAGAAAGAAUCUCUAAAGAAAGAGAUACAUGACCUGAAACAGAACUUACAGACAUUAUUGUAGAGACAAGCAAAGUUCCUGGAGAAUUGUAGGGAAGUCAGUACUGUUCAGUAUUUGGGGACUUUAAGCAAGUUGUUGUCACAGCUCGACUGAUCUGAGCCAUAUAUCAUGGAUAGAUAUAUACCUGAGGAUAUGGAAGGGUCUGUCUGAAAAACAACAGAUGCUCAGAGCAGAGUUAGUUCCCUUUAUGUGUAGUGGAAGCCAUGUUGUUCAGGAGGACUGUCAUUCCAGUGCAAAUACACACAUUUGUGGAGAGUCUAGUACUCUUGU